rnacentral:rRNA from 1 species
AUUGAACGCUGGCGGCAGGCUUAACACAUGCAAGUCGAACGAGUGGCGGACGGGUGAGUAAUGCUUGGGAAUCUAGCUUAUGGAGGGGGAUAACUACGGGAAACUGUAGCUAAUACCGCGUACCAUAGGAUGAGCCAAAGUGGGAUUAGGUAGUUGGUGAGGGAAUGGCGCACCAAGCCGACGAUCUCUAGCUGGUCUGAGAGGAUGACCAGUCACACUGGUACUGUGCCAGGGCCCAGACUCCUACGGUCGGCAGCAGGGGGGAAGAUUGCGAAAUGGGGGCAACCUGAUGCAGCCAUGCCGCGUGAAUGAAGAAGGCCUUCGGGUUGUAAAGUUCUUUCGGUAGCUAGGCGUUAACUACAGAAGAAGCACCGGCUAACUCCGUGCCAGCAGCCGCGGUAAUUC